rnacentral:misc_RNA from 1 species
UCCGGUUUAUCACCGGCAGUCUCCUUAAAGUCCCCGACAUGACUCGCUGGUAACUAAGGACAAGGGUUGCGCUCGUUAUGGGACUUAACCCGACACUUCACAGCACGAGCUGACGACAGCCAUGCAGCACCUGUGUCCACUUUCCCUUUCGGGCACGCCUCCGUCUCGAGAGGCUUCCGACCAUGUCAAGGGUAGGUAAGGUUUUUCGCGUUGCAUCGAAUUAAUCCACAUCAUCCACCGCUUGUGCGGGUCCCCGUCAAUUCCUUUGAGUUUUAAUCUUGCGACCGUACUCCCCAGGCGGUCGACUUCACGCGUUAGCUGCGGUACUAAGGAAGUCUCCUUCCCCAACACCUAGUCGACAUCGUUUAGGGCGUGGACUAC